GAUGAACGCUAGCGGCAGGCUUAAUACAUGCAAGUCGAGGGGCAGCAUGACUGUAGCAAUACAGUUGAUGGCGACCGGCAAACGGGUGCGGAACACGUACAGAACCUUCCUUUAAGUGGUGAAUAGCCCAGAGAAAUUUGGAUUAAUACACCGUAACAUAUAGAGUUGGCAUCAAUUUUAUAUUAUAGCUCCGGCGCUUAAAGAUGGCUGUGCGGCUGAUUAGGUAGUUGGCGGGGUAACGGCCCACCAAGCCUACGAUCAGUAACUGGUGUGAGAGCACGACCAGUCACACGGGCACUGAGACACGGGCCCGACUCCUACGGGAGGCAGCAGUAAGGAAUAUUGGACAAUGGGGGAAACCCUGAUCCAGCGACGCCGCGUGUGUGAAGAAGGCCUGCGGGUUGUAAAGCACUUUCGAUGGGAACGAAAUGUGCCGGGCUAAUACCCCGGCAAGCUGACGUUACUCAAUGAAGAAGCACCGGCUAACUCUAUGCCAGCCGCCGCCGUAACAC
rnacentral:rRNA from 1 species